rnacentral:misc_RNA from 1 species
GAUGAAGAACGCAGCGAAAUGCGAUAAGUAAUGUGAAUUGCAGAAUUCAGUGAAUCAUCGAAUCUUUGAACGCACAUUGCGCCCGCCAGUAUUCUGGCGGGCAUGCCUGUUCGAGCGUCAUUACAACCCUCAGGCCCCCGGGCCUGGCGUUGGGGAUCGGCGGAGCCCCCCGUGGGCACACGCCGUCCCCCAAAUGCAGUGGCGGUCCCGCCGCAGCUUCCAUCGCGUAGUAGCUAACACCUCGCGACUGGAGAGCGGCGCGCCCACGCCGUAAAACACCCAACUCUUCUGAAGUUGACCUCGAAUCAGGUAGGAAUACCCGCUGAACUUAAGCAUAUCAAUAAGCGGAGGA